rnacentral:rRNA from 1 species
UACGUAGGGGGCGAGCGUUGUCCGGAUUUAUUGGGCGUAAAGAGCUCGUAGGCGGCUUAGCAAGUCGGGUGUGAAAACUCCAGGCUCAACCUGGAGACGCCACUCGAGACUGCUAUGGCUAGAGUCCGGUAGGGGACCACGGAAUUCCUGGUGUAGCGGUGAAAUGCGCAGAUAUCAGGAGGAACACCGAUGGCGAAGGCAGCUCGCUGGGACGGUACUGACGCUGAGACGCGAAAGCGUGGGGAGCAAACAGG